GGCCGGUUAGCUCAGUUGGUUAUAGCGUGGUGUUAAAAAUGCCAAGGUCGUGGGUUCGAUACCAAUACGGGCCA